UGGGGGAUAUUGCACAAUGGGCGAAAGCCUGAUGCAGCGACGCCGCGUGGGGGAUGAAGGCUUUCGGGUUGUAAACCUCUUUCGCUAUCGAACAAGGCCCGCUUAGGGUGGGUUGAGGGUAGGUGGAGAAGAAGCGCCGGCUAACUACGUGCCAGCAGCCGCGGUAAUACGUAGGGCGCGAGCGUUGUCCGGAAUUAUUGGGCGUAAAGGGCUUGUAGGCGGCUUGUUGCGCCUGCUGUGAAAACGCGGGGCUUAACUUCACGCGUGCAGUGGGUACGGGCAGGCUUGAGUGUGGUAGGGGUGACUGGAAUUCCAGGUGUAGCGGUGGAAUGCGCAGAUAUCUGGAGGAACACCGAUGGCGAAGGCAGGUCACUGGGCCAUUACUGACGCUGAGGAGCGAAAGCAUGGGUAGCGAACAGG
rnacentral:rRNA from 1 species